rnacentral:miRNA from 1 species
CCUGAAUGUAAUUUAGUGGCA